rnacentral:rRNA from 1 species
UACGGGGGGGGCAAGCGUUGUUCGGAAUUACUGGGCGUAAAGGGCUCGUAGGCGGCCAACUAAGUCGGGUGUGAAAGCCCCGGGCUCAACCUGGGAAUUGCAUUCGAGACUGAAUAGCUAGGGUACGGUAGAGGGAAGCGGAAUUUCCGGUGUAGCGGUGAAAUGCGUAGAUAUCAGGAGGAACACCGGUGGCGAAGGCGGGGAUCCUGGGCCAGUACUGACGCUGAGGAGCGAAAGCGUGGGGAGCAAACAGG